rnacentral:misc_RNA from 1 species
GCUUGUUAAUGUUGUGGCUGUUGUUCCCCCCAUAACACCCAUAAUAUCAGUUAGAAUAAAUGAUAGGUCAAAUUAAAAACUACAUGCUAAGCAUAAAUUAUCAAAGAUUUUAAUUCAAAUCAAACAUAUGCAUGGAAAAAUAAGAAGCUGCUAGCUUCCUUCUUCUAUGAUAAGAAAACAUAUGCAUUCAGAGCAUUAACCCCUUUCCUAUGACUGCCACCAAGUUCCGCCUGAAAUUGCAUGCAACAUCCAUGAUAGUACAAGAGAAAAGGAAUAUUAGAUGUCCGCUCAUAAACCAUAGUUUUGGAAUCUAAUAUAUAUACUUUUUUUUUUUUGAAAUUACAUCCGCUUAACAAAUUAGCAUGUGAUAGGCUUUGAAAAUCAUGAAAAAAAGGCUAAGUUGCUUUUCUUUUGCAUAAAAUGAGACAUGUACCACUAGCAGCUUCCAUAUUUGGGCAAUAAACAAGCGUUUUUAAAGAAUCAAUGCAGGAAAUGAAAUUGGAAAAAAUUACAAAGAAAUAACAGCAGUAUUCUACCAUAUGUAAUUAUUAGUGCAACAUUCACAUUAGAUCUAAGAAGAAUUAAACAAAAACAAAAUUACACAGUAUAUCAAUUGAUCUUAAACCCACACCUGCAUCACAAUUGACUGAUCUAAUAAUGAAUCUACUCUGAGCUCGAAAUAA